rnacentral:rRNA from 1 species
UAGGGCUAGCCUCAAGUGAUGAUUAUUGGGGGUAGAGCACUGUUUGGACGAGGGGCCCCUCUCGGGUUACCGAAUUCAGACAAACUCCGAAUGCCAAUUAAUUUAACUUGGGAGUCAGAACAUGGGUGAUAAGGUCCGUGUUCGAAAGGGAAACAGCCCAGACCACCAGCUAAGGUCCCAAAAUAUAUGUUAAGUGGAAAAGGAUGUGGCGUUGCCCAGACAACUAGGAUGUUGGCUUAGAAGCAGCCAUCAUUUAAAGAGUGCGUAAUAGCUCACUAGUCGAGUGACACUGCGCCGAAAAUGUAACGGGGCUAAACAUAUUACCGAAGCUGUGGAUUGUCCUUUGGACAAUGGUAGGAGAGCGUUCUAAGGGCGUCGAAGCAUGAUCGCAAGGACAUGUGGAGCACUUAGAAGUGAGAAUGCCGGUGUGAGUAGCGAAAGACGGGUGAGAAUCCCGUCCACCGAUUGACUAAGGUUUCCAGAGGAAGGCUCGUCCGCUAUGGGUUAGUCGGGUGCUACGCUGAGGCCGACCGGCGUAG